UACACUCCUGCGGGAGGCAGCAGUGGGGAAUAUUGGACAAUGGGCGCAAGCCUGAUCCAGCCAUGCCGCGUGAGUGAUGAAGGCCCUAGGGUUGUAAAGCUCUUUCACCGGUGAAGAUAAUGACGGUAACCGGAGAAGAAGCCCCGGCUAACUUCGUGCCAGCAGCCGCGGUAAUACGAAGGGGGCUAGCGUUGUUCGGAUUUACUGGGCGUAAAGCGCACGUAGGCGGACUAUUAAGUCAGUGGUGAAAUCCCGGGGCUCAACCCCGGAACUGCCUUUGAUACUGGUAGUCUUGAGUUCGAGAGAGGUGAGUGGAAUUCCGAGUGUAGAGGUGAAAUUCGUAGAUAUUCGGAGGAACACCAGUGGCGAAGGCGGCUCACUGGCUCGAUACUGACGCUGAGGUGCGAAAGCGUGGGGAGCAAACAGGAUUAGAAACCCUUGUAGUCCCA
rnacentral:rRNA from 1 species